rnacentral:misc_RNA from 1 species
CUUGUACCUGUAACUUAAAAAAAAAAAAGAAGAAAAACAAUAUAGUUUUGUUCUUGUACAACUAGCCUAAAUUAGUGUGAUUGCAUAAGUCUUAGGAAAUGAUUAAGCUAUCAGAGCAGAUUUAAUUCCUAAUUUGUUGUCAUCCCUAAUGAUGGAGAGUUACAUGAAGAAAUUACCUUUUCAUCUUUGGCUGUGUAAAAAACAAAUAAAAAGAAAAAAGAAGUAAACCUUACAUGAAAAAGGCGUUGCCUCUCACCUUGUGCCUUUCUCUCUAGGGCGCUUGCCUCGUGCAAUCCAGGCUAGGCGCGACCAGGCAGGGCGCUAGAGGUCGACUUGGAGCACCUUUAACAACACUGGUUUCACUGAAAUGACGUGGUUUGCUUUAAUGUUUUUCAGGCAAUAGCAGAGUUCAAGAA